CGGUCCGGACAAUCGCUGCGAUAGUAGAGGAAAGUCCAUGCUCGCACGAGCUGUGAUGCUCGUAGUGAUUGCGCUAGCGGAAAAAAUAACGCUAGGUAUGCAGGAGUGCAUAACGGCGGGAAGAAACCUAAGGGCAACUAUGGUCUAUUCCCUGAAAGUGCCACAGUGACGUAGUUUAUUAGAAAUAAUAAAGUGGAACGCGGUAAACCCCACAAGCGAGAAACCCAAAUUUGGUAGGGGAAAUAAGGAAAGAGAAACGAAUCAAUCCUUAUAGGCAUAGCCUAGAUAAAUGAUUGUCAUAACAGAACAUGGCUUACAGGA
rnacentral:RNase_P_RNA from 1 species